UACGUAGGGUGCGAGCGUUGCCCGGAUUUAUUGGGCGUAAAGGGCGCGUAGGCGGCUCUGCACGUCCGUUGUGAAAUCGCCCGGCUCAACUGGGCGGGUCAGCGGAUACGGCGGAGCUUGAGCAAGCUAGGGGGCAAUGGAAUUCCGGGUGUAGCGGUGGAAUGCGUAGAGAUCCGGAAGAACACCGGUGGCGAAGGCGGCCUGCUGGGCAGUUUGCUGACACUGAGGCGCGACAGCGUGGGGAGCAAACAGGG
rnacentral:rRNA from 1 species